rnacentral:rRNA from 1 species
GAUGAACGCUGGCGGCGUGCCUAAUACAUGCAAGUCGAGCGAACAAAUGAGGAGCUUGCUCCUCUGACGUUAGCGGCGGACGGGUGAGCAACACGUGGAUAACCUACCUAUAAGACUGGGAUAACUUCGGGAAACCGGAGCUAAUACCGGAUAAUAUAUUGAACCGCAUGGUUCAAUAGUGAAAGACGGUUUUGCUGUCACUUAUAGAUGGAUCCGCGCCGCAUUAGCUAGUUGGUAAGGUAACGGCUUACCAAGGCAACGAUGCGUAGCCGACCUGAGAGGGUGAUCGGCCACACUGGAACUGAGACACGGUCCAGACUCCUACGGGAGGCAGCAGUAGGGAAUCUUCCGCAAUGGGCGAAAGCCUGACGGAGCAACGCCGCGUGAGUGAUGAAGGUCUUCGGAUCGUAAAACUCUGUUAUUAGGGAAGAACAAAUGUGUAAGUAACUAUGCACGUCUUGACGGUACCUAAUCAGAAAGCCACGGCUAACUACGUG